GGGUAUCCCAAAGGUUAUAGCCAGAUAUCAAGGCGGACCAGGUAACCAAAUUUCUGUGGGGCAUUUCGUCGAACACCUGGUGGGCCGGGUGAAGAAGUCCACAUUUGGCGUAGAAAUUGAGAAUGUGAUUGCACAUGGAGGUUUCUGCUAGUGAUUGCACAUGGAGGUUUCUGCUAGUCUUCCUGUCUUGAUAGCUGCAGCGUGGAGCGAAACCCCACGUCUUAAUGCCUUGGCUUUGGCGCAAUGGUGGAGAAACAAACCAAGAUUUUGUAGCGUCAUCAAUUUUCAGACGACAAAAUUUGAUGGUGACGAUGAACACCUCGAAAUGUACAACGUAGAAUUAAGAAUUUCAGAUCACCCAAAAUAUGACUUCGCCAAGAUCAAA
rnacentral:lncRNA from 1 species